rnacentral:rRNA from 1 species
UACGUAGGGGGCAAGCGUUGUCCGGAUUUAUUGGGCGUAAAGAGCGUGUAGGCGGCCAUACAGGUCAGCUGUGAAAACUCGAGGCUCAACCUCGAGACGUCGGUUGAAACCGUAUGGCUAGAGUCCGGAAGAGGAGAGUGGAAUUCCCGGUGUAGCGGUGAAAUGCGCAGAUAUCGGGAAGAACACCCGUGGCGAAGGCUGCUCUCUGGGACGGUACUGACGCUGAGACGCGAAAGCGUGGGGAGCGAACAGG